CCGCGGCCGCCGCGGCGGGGACCGCGUGCCGGGGCGUGCGCGGCUCCUUCCGGGGCGCUGCGGCCCCCGCCUCCGGCCCGGACCCCCUCCCGGGGCCGCGAGGGCACCCCGCUCCGGACCCCUUCCCGCCGCCUCCCCCCCCAGUCUUCCGGGGAGACGCGGACCCCAGCUCCGAGGCUGCAGAGGCCCCGGGUGCGCCUCCUGCGCCCCCAUCACUUCCUCCCGGGGGUCCCAGGUCCCUAAUCCCAGGGUACAGAGGGUGGCCGGCGGAGGCCUGACCCGGAGCGGGGCAGGUAAGCAGGUCAGGGCCACAGAGAACCAGGCCCCUGGUCUGAAGAAAGUCCUGCCUGGUCGAGGAGAGCAGCACCCCCAGAGGCCGUGGUCCCACCCUGGGGAGCUUGAGGGGCCCCUGACGACCUCCAGCCCCCUGCCCCGGGUGAAAGGCCGCGUCCACAAGGCCUGCAGCCAGGGCAUGGGCCGGGCCUGGGCCUCCCAGACUGGGAGCAAGGUGAGAAGGGGGUGUGGCCCCUCAGAAGCCCGCGGAGGGCACCUCGAUAAUGUUCGUGGGUCCCUCCCCCACCACACUCACAUGGCAAGGUGGCUCCCACUCCUGCAUUCUCCACGGCUUCAGACUCAGUCUGAGGACACAGUGUGGGCGCCUCAGGCCUGGCCUGCCCUUGGGGACAGCCCAGGCUGGUAGGGAGGCAGACAGGAACACAGAAAAAUUCCCCGCACAAGUGCCGGAGCAGAAGCGGGGCCGGCUACCUGGUGUGGCUUCUUGGAGGUGGACACACCCCAGCUGAGAAAGUGUAUGCCCAGGAGAGAAGGUUUAUCUUUGCAGAGAUCGCUCCGGCAGCCCGGACAGAGGAGUGAGAGGGGCUGCUCAGGGAGACGAUGGAGGCCUGGCUGGGGCCCUGAGGCCAACGAGGGGGGCAGAGACUGGCCGAGGGGGCCACAGCCUGGCUGGGACCUCAGCUGGGGGCAACCUGCCCUGUGAAGGAAGACUAUGAGGCCCAUUUUACAGAUGAAGAAACUGAGGCCCAAGAGGUUUCAAGACCCGUCCAGCAAGUAUCUGUUACACUUGGGGCUGCAAGGCCAAUCUUCAGACUUCAGGACACCUGCUCUCCCCUCCGACCAUUCUGUCCCCCCUCAGGUGCCAGGCAGGCCCCUUCCAACCUCUGUAAAGGCCCCCACACAUCUCAGUUACCAUCCCGGCACGCCAGGGCCUCCUGGGCUCUGCUGAGCUGUCCAGGGUCCUGGCCAGGCCCAGCCUUGCCCCGAAGUCUACUCUGAUCCCUCCCAGGCUAUCACUUCUUCCCGCCUCUUGGAUAUCAAAGAAGCAAAAACAGGGGAAGUUGCACCUGCCCCCCAGCUCCGCCCCUGCACUGCCUGCACUCCCUGUGAGCCCCGGGAUACCACACGCAACUCACAGCUGUUUUCCUCUUCCAGAGAAUGGGUACAACGUGGGGCAGACCAGGAGGGGGUCCAUAUUCAAUACAUUUCCACGGAUAUAACAGCCGCCUCCUCGGGGCCAGGCAAAGCCAGAGCUGCGGAGAGACUGGACCCGGCCCUGCCCUUGAGCAAAUGUGGGGGCUGGAAACCAACAAGGGCCACACGCUGAUGAGCAGAGGGGAACACAGGCUGAGGGAGCACAAGGGACUUCCCACCCCUCCCAGGGGCAGAAAGAGGAGGUGCUUGGGGAGUGCCGCGUGACAAGGGCAAAUACAAGAGGACAUUCUGGGGUAGGGAUGGAAUAAGCCAAGACAUGGAGGCAAGAGUCAAAGGGGAGCCUGGGCUAGAGGAGGGAGGGACCCGGGAAGGGGUGGCACCUGUCCCAGCACCUCCGGAGUCCAGAGCAGAGCCCCAGGGAAGGGCAGGCCUGGCAAGCCUGGUCAGAUCCCUUGGGACAGAGGGAUGGUGAAGAGGUAGGAAGGCCAAGCCUCCGUGACUUGCAGAUACAGUCACAGUAGCUCGUCCCAGCCACUUGACACAUGUCUCCUUCAGUCUUCGUGGCCCCGCCAGCUCAGUGUGAAGCGGUGGGCAGGGACCGGGACCCAGUGGGCUCCACAGGCUGCUACUGUCCCCUCCAGCUGAACUCGUGAUUUCCUCAACAUCCCUGAGCUCUGCGUCCUAUCUGAAUAAUAAGAGUACCGCCUGACCCGGUCCCGGUGAGGAUCAAGUCAACUGUCGACCGGACCUGAAAAUCGGGCUGUCUGUCCUUGGCUCGCGCUGCUGGAACUCAUUAGAAUUCUCCCAGGGUGGCUCCGGCAUCUGCUGGAUCCUCUGUGUCUUUCUCUGUCUGUGACAGCCACCUAAGAGCUGCCCUACACCAAUAAUUCUGUCCAAACCCAGCUUGGAUUUGUGGGCACCGGGACACAGGUGACCCCAUCCACACGAGGACCUCACAGAGGGCCCAGGUGCCACGGCUAGUAGCAAGAGUACUGGUUUGAGUCAGACUAUCUGGCCCCAGGGCCGGGUCAAUGUUGGGGCCAGAGCCAAAUACGGAGAAGAAGGGAGGAAAUUUGGGCUUGCUCCUGGGACCCAGGAAAGGAAUGAAUGGGGGGGGGGGGUCUUGGCUCUCAGCCUAUAGAAGCCCAAACCCAGACCCUUGCUGCUCCAACUGGGAGGCCUGUGGGAGGCUCAGAUAAGAUGCCUGGGACACAGGCCUGGGUCCCCACACAGACACCUGACCGGGACCCAGCAGACAGCAGGGCCCCCAGGGUGGGCCAGACCCUGGAACGAGCGCCCUGGGGAGGCAAAGGCACUAGGCACCCAUUCAGAGAGGGCAACUCCUUCAAAGGCAAUGAGAGCUGAAAGCUGGCCAUCCCUGUGCCCCACCUCAUGUCCGUCACUCCUGCAUUGCGCCGCACCCCAAGCCCGGUCCACCUGUCCCCCCAAAUCCAGCCCCUCACAUCCUCACGUCCUUCCAUGGGGUUCCUGCUCCCCACACUGCGGUCGUGGUGCCCCUGCCCUGCGUGGAGACCCUCAGUGUCUCCCCACUGCCCCUAUGUCUGCAUCCUGCCCCUCCCACCCAGGAUACACCUGCUCAGGCAACCUACCCCUCCUGGGCUCCCCCACCGGAAUAGAGCAGUGCUAGUCUGCCUCCCUCCGCCCGUGGCCGCUAAGCAGCGAGGCCCUGAGCCUGUGAACCUCGGGUGGGAUCAAGAGCCAAGGGGGCAGCCGGCAGGCCUGGGCCUGGGCUGGGGGCCUGGGCAGGGUGCUUGACCUGUCGCCUCACUUGGAAGACGAGGGUAAAGUCACCCGCCUUGUUAGGUUGCGCUGAUCACAUGGGAUAAGGAUAGUGGGCUGCUGAGUGCUGGCUGUGACUCUCAGGAAGUACAAAUCGGUGACGGUCCCCGGGAGACCCAGGAGGCCCCUGCCCGAGCCCCUCCUUGAUACUGGUGUCCCCAGGCUACUCACUGCCAGGCCCCAGCUCCCUUCCUGCUACCCAGCAGGCUCUCGGCAAACACUAAAUGCGCCAGAGGUAUGAGAGGAACCCCAGGAAGCACCCCCACUUCUGUUGAUGCCUGAAAUCUCCGCACUGGGGAGCUGUUAUCCUUGGUGAAAGACAAAAAUCCCAGGGCGGCAUGACAGUAGGUGGGGGAACAGCAGAGCUGGGGGAGGCCGAGCCAGCCUCCUCAAGCAGAUGGCCCCCAGCCCCCUCCUUCGGAAAGGAAGCCCCCCCACACUCCCACAGGGAAUCAUGCCUCUACUUGGCAUGUCCCAGAUGGCCACCAUGCCCUGCUUCCCCAGAGGUCAUUUCCUAUCAGAAGUUCUUCCUUAUGUUGAGCUCGUAGCUCCUUCCCCGCCUUGCUCCCCACCCAGCUCCCAGGGCUGCAUGGAAUCCGUGAGGAGCCCUGGGCCCACCAGCACAACUCCCCGAAUCUGCUCCUCCCCAGACUCACAGCACCAUCCCUCAGUAACUGUCCCUCAACUAACCUGGCCACGUACCCCCUGCCCAUCUUGGUCCUCUUCUCCAGGUUCUCUCUCGCCUCCAGGUGUGACAUUCCAAAUCAGCACUGUAGCAGUCAUCCACACCCUAGUCUGAAUGUUUCCAGCCCUUCUCUAACAGAAGAGUUGAGUCAGAAUCAUCAAAGGAUAGUCACCCAUUCUACAGAUGAGGAAAGUGAGGUGGGAGCCUUUGAGAGACUUGCCAAAAAAGGCAUUGCAACUGCCCGGACCUUCCUGACCUCAACCUCCACGUGCUUCCAGGUGACAAUGCCCUGCAGGCAGCCGAGAGAAAGGGAAAGAUGGGUGUGCCUGGACCAUCCCCAGGCCACCCCUGAUGGAACAUCACUCAUUGAGCCUCCUUCCUGACUCCCGUUCUCUCUCUCUCUCUCUCACACACACACACACACACACACACGCACGCCCUGCCGCUGUAGCACACCCAGACGCAUUAUGCUUUUAGUCCUCAAACCACCUGGAAAGAUGGCACUGUUAUUUCCAGGUUACAGAUGACAAGCUGGGGCUGAGGGAAUGGACUUGCCCAAGGUCGCACCUCGAACCCCUGGGAGGGCUGCAGUGACACCCAGUUCCGGCCCCAUUCCAUCCCGGGCCUCUGGCUCUCUGCGGCGGCCUGGGCCAGAGGGGCAGCACCGGAACAGCUCGAGCCCUACGCGUUCCAUUGUGUGCCCAGAGCAGACAUCGCUAAUCGAUUACAGUGCUCCUGUGUCCCCUGGGAUGCAGCCUCAGACUCCUUGCACAGGGCUGAAGGCAGCCUCUGUGAAGAACUGGCCCUAGAAACAUCGACUUGCCUCCGCCAGAGGACCUGCUGGACCGGCUGAUCUCCUAGCUGCCUGUGGGGCUUCAUCGUGCCCCGCCAUGUGUAACAGAGGCCGUCUCUUCCCUGCCUGGAGCUGACCAGGGACUCACGGUGGUUGUGCAGAGCUCCCCAGCCGUGCACAACACCCUCUCUCCCCACAGACCUGCCCCUUCCCAUAGCUCGCCGGGGCCUCUAACCACCCCAACCUUGAAGAUGGCCAUUUUUUUUUUUUGCACCAUUGAGCCUUGAACCACCCCCCCCCCCACAAACCCAAAGCUGCAGCCCUUCCUGAAACCCCCUCUCAGACUUCCCCUCCAGCCUCUGGGACCCCUACAGCCUCUGGGACCCGUAUAGCCAAUACGCCAAUAUGUCCUUUGCCACAUCUUUGAGCAUUCCCAGGAGAUCGGUUCCUCUCCACCUGCCUUUACACCUGCUCAUGUCUCCCAACUCAGGAAAUAAGACUUCUGUCCCUCCCACGUCACCCUCCAGCUACGACACACCUCUUCCCGCUUCUUAGCCAAGUUUCCCAAAAAAGGGCCUCCACACGUGCCCUCUCCCCUUCCCUGCCCCACCUGCCCUCUCCUCAGGCCAGAGCAUGGCUGCCAAUAGCCUCCUGGUGCCCACGAUGGUCCAGCUCAUCCCCAGCCAUGUAGGCCUCUCCCCCUGCGAUCGGGACAGAGUCCAGCUUCCCAGCCAUGGCCUUCAGCUCUGUAUGUCCUGGUCCUGGGGACAUCUCCAGUCUCGCCCUGUGCCCCACCCUCCACCCUACUCUCCAGACACCCUGACCAACUUCCUUCUGGUUGGCUCUGGGACUCCACUCUGGCUCAAUCCUCUGCCCGUGGCGAAUAAUCACAGUAGCAAUAACAAAACUGUCGCUUGUUCAGAACUAGCCUGCACCCGGCAUCGUGCAGAAACAGAUCAGUAACCCCAUCCUCCAUCGAGUCUAUUUUACUCACUGGCUCCAAAAACACUGACUUGUGCGCCUACUAUGUGCCACACUCUUUUGUAAGCAUGAGGGUAGGGCGGUGAGUUGUGAUGCCGGUAUUUUUGGUCCAAUUGUGCAGUGGGGAAACUGAGUCUCACAGAGGCUAACAGGCCUGUCUGGGCUCACACAGCCACGAGGCAGACCCUGGCACCUCACACCCACCCAGCCCCCCAUGUCACGCCUCCCCUCCGAAUGGGACCCGGAAUCCUGCCCACCCCGCCCUCUCCCCUCCUUUGCCCCUGGGGUCCGGCACCCUCGGCUCUUUGUUCUCCUCCCUGGGAGCCCCCUCCCACCAUCCCCACCACCUAGCCGCCAGCCUGGCUGCUGCCUCCUCCCCGGGAGCCACUGCCAAGCCGUCAGCUCCUUUCAUCACCCCGAGGCAGCCGGCGGGAACGCCAGCAGCUUCUUUGGCACAGACCCGCCUCCGGCCACCCGCCACGCGUUCUCAGGCACAGACGUCAGGCCGGCAGGGCGGGCACCUGGCCCCA